rnacentral:rRNA from 1 species
CAAAGGUGAGCCAGUACAGGAUGGACCCGCGUCUGAUUAGCUAGUUGGUAAGGUAACGGCUUACCAAGGCGACGAUCAGUAGCCGACCUGAGAGGGUGAUCGGCCACAUUGGAACUGAGACACGGUCCAAACUCCUACGGGAGGCAGCAGUGGGGAAUAUUGCACAAUGGGCGAAAGCCUGAUGCAGCAACGCCGCGUGAGUGAUGAAGGCCUUCGGGUCGUAAAACUCUGUCCUCAAGGAAGAUAAUGACGGUACUUGAGGAGGAAGCCCCGGCUAACUACGUGCCAGCAGCCGCGGUAAUACGUAGGGGGCUAGCGUUAUCCGGAUUUACUGGGCGUAAAGGGUGCGUAGGCGGUCCUUCAAGUCAGGAGUGAAAGGCUACGGCUCAACCGUAGUAAGCUCUUGAAACUGGGAGACUUGAGUGCAGGAGAGGAGAGUGGAAUUCCUAGUGUAGCGGUGAAAUGCGUAGAUAUUAGGAGGAACACCAGUUGCGAAGGCGGCUCUCUGGACUGUAACUGACGCUGAGGCACGAAAGCGUGGGGAGCAAACAGGAUUAGAUACCCUGGUAGUCCACGCUGU